rnacentral:rRNA from 1 species
UCGGGAAUUUUGGGCAAUGGGCGAAAGCCUGACCCAGCAACGCCGCGUGAGGGAUGAAGUAUUUCGGUAUGUAAACCUCGAAAGAAUGGGAAGAAUAAAUGACGGUACCAUCUAUAAGCUCCGGCCAACUACGUGCCAGCAGCCGCGGUAAUACGUAGGGAGCAAGCGUUGUUCGGAUUUACUGGGCGUAAAGGGCGCGUAGGCGGCGCGGUAAGUCACUUGUGAAAUCUCUGAGCUUAACUCAGAACGGCCAAGUGAUACUGCUGUGCUAGAGUGCGGAAGAGGCAACCGGAAUUCUUGGUGUAGCGGUGAAAUGCGUAGAUAUCAAGAGGAACACCUGAGGCGAAGGCGGGUUGCUGGGCCGACACUGACGCUGAUGCGCGAAAGCCAGGGGAGCAAACG